AUACGUAGGGGGCGAGCGUUGUCCGGAAUGAUUGGGCGUAAAGGGCGCGUAGGCGGCCCGGUAAGUCUGGAGUGAAAGUCCUGUUUUUGAGAUGGGAAUUGCUUUGGAUACUGUCGGGCUUGAGUGCAGGAGAGGUAAGUGGAAUUCCCAGUGUAGCGGUGAAAUGCGUAGAGAUUGGGAGGAACACCAGUGGCGAAGGCGACUUACUGGACUGUAACUGACGCUGAGGCGCGAAAGUGUGGGGAGCAAACAGGAUUAGAUACCCUGGUGGUCCACACUGUAAACGAUGAAUGCUAGGUGUAGGGGGUAUCGACCCCUUCUGUGCCGCAGUCAACACAAUAAGCAUUCCGCCUGGGGAGUACGGCCGCAAGGUUGAAACUCAAAUGAAUUGACGGGG
rnacentral:rRNA from 1 species